rnacentral:rRNA from 1 species
UGGGGGAUAUUGCACAAUGGAGGAAACUCUGAUGCAGCGACGCCGCGUGAGUGAAGAAGGCCUUCGGGUCGUAAAGCUCUGUCCUAGGGGAAGAUAAUGACGGUACCCUAGGAGGAAGCCCCGGCUAACUACGUG